AAUAAACAAUGUGACGGCAUGCUGUUUCUGCAGGUAUCAACAGCAGGCACUCCUCUCCUGGGCAGCCCAUCUGCUCUGCCCCUGGGCUUCGGGAUGUUGGGAGGCCUGGUGCCCGUCUCACUACCCUUCCAGUUCCCUCCCUUGCUCAAUUUCAGCCCUCCUGGAGCCCCAGGGGCUGCUGGCAUGGGCUCAGCCCCCAGCUCCAACUCAGGAUACCCCCUAGCACAGAGCGACCUAAUUGAUGCGAACCAAAGCCAGGGUGGAGACAUGAAGAGGAAACCCCACUGACCAAUAACAGUGCAGGAGACGGACACCUGGUGGGGGUGACAUCACAGCCUCCUAGACACAUCUACCAAUAGGAGUCUUCACUUUGAUUGACUGACAUGAUGAUGUGGUAUGGGGGGGACGGGGCUCCACUGCCUCUUUAAAAAAAAAAAAAAAAAAAAAAAAAAAAAAAAAAAAAAACGGACCUAAAGGAGAAUCAUUUUAUCCUCUCUACAAGUGGCAAUGAUGAAUUAAUUUAACUGUAUUUUCUAAUGAACCGGGUAUGAGAACAAGACGGAGUGAAUGAUGAGAACACUUACUUUUGUUCGGCUUAUUUUUAUUUUUUGUCAACAUGUUUACAUAUGACCGACCUUGAUCACUGUGGAAUGAGUGUGAGCGAGGUGGUGGUGGUGGUGGUGGUACAGAUGAGAGUAGUAGUACGCUACGUAAUAUAAUUUGUAUUUAAGCUUAUGUGGAGUAACAGGACUCUUGUUCUUGCAGUACAAAAAGAAAAAAGAAAAACAGACUGAGUAAUGAAUUUUUAUUUUUCUGUCUUUUGUCUCAGAUGUGGGAAUCGUCGUGUCCGUAGAAAUUUUAUUGUUGGUCACCUCUGCUCCCACAAAUGACUGUUAAGUAGUAGCUUAAAUUAAUAUUGAUAAAUUAUUUGUAAUUUACACAGGGACAGCAACAUGUUAUGGUGUGUGUGUGUGUGUGUGUGAGAGAAAGCGAGAGAGAGAGAGAGAGAGUGGUGAGGUUGAUUUAAAUGUGUGUUUGUACAUAAAAAAAACACAAUAUACUGUUAAUUUCUUUCCAGAUUAUUCUGUAUGAAUGGGUAAGGACGUGUAUCCCCUUUUCACAAUAAUGAGCGAGUGUAAGUUUGAUGCCCCUCUCUUGCUCAGUGUGUUUUUGGUGCUGUUUAAUCACACUGGACCUUUUCUGGAAAAAAGACUUGAAUUGAAAAAGUUUUGGGCUCCUCUUCUGGAGAGAGGAGCCACUUGUGAGAGAGGGGGGAAACGUCAAGAUUGUAGCCUACUUGAAUUUUUUUUUUUUUUUGUGAGUUCAGAUUUUUUAUUUACCUUCUCUGCUUAUUGACUCGAACCAACUUAAUAUAACACAACGCCUUAGUUUGUAUUGAAAAAGUAUGAAAAAGAUCUAUGCAGGACUGUAAAACGCUCAAUGCAAAAGUGCAAGUUGUCGCUUGGCUUUCAACCUCUACUCAACUUGUCAGUGCAUUUUUCUGGAGUUGUGAAUGUUUGUAGAUGUUAUUAUGUCGCUUGAGACUCCUCCAUUUCCGGUGUGUGUUCAGACAGAACGUGACGGUGAAUUUGAGAAGAGGGCGUUGGCCUGAUUACACUCAAGGUACGAAUUGGCGUGAAAAUGUUUCAACUUGAGCAAAAACGUUUUGCUGCAUUCACACAAUGUUAGCAGAAUGGGAAGGAAAGGGAAAAAAAAUGCUUUUGCCAGCUUGGGAAUGUUCAGGCAUUAUUCCAACUAAGUUGUCAACAACUUGCAGGCUAAGACCGCUGUGUUUUUACACAAGUGGUUGCGUGAGAGUUAAAAAAUACUACGCAUUGACAAUAUAAUGGCAUAUCUGUUAAAUGGGUUUUAUUUUACUGAAUGGUCUUUGGCUGAUGUUAGGAGACCACUUAUGAUUUUUAGACACCUCCAUAUUACUAAGUUCCAAGUUGGAUAUAGUGGAGCUUUCAGAAAAAUAAGGAUUUCUCAGUUGUGAUUACAACUUUUAGGUUGACAUAAAUGCUGUUUAUAAGUCAGAAACUUGUAAUUUUGAUAAUUAUCUAAGGAUACGUCAUGAAUGUGGCAUUCGCACCUCUGCUAGCCUUGUAGUCACACCAAAUAAAUAAGCUUCUUUUGUUGUGUUACGUCAUUGUCAUAGUUGUUACCGAGUGAAACUAGAUACGGUGUGUGGCUACUGUAAAUUUAGCUGAAUCGAUUGUUCUAGUGUUAAUGUUGAAUUGUACUUGUAGACAUUCUGCCAGCAGUUUGUUGACAUGUCUAUGAUGUUAGUCAUGUUCACCAAGUGGGAGAUAUUGUCGAUGUCAGAAAUUCAUGAUAUUUCCAAGAGCGAAAAACCAUUCAGCCUUCCAAGUUGGAGAUGUUAACAAAUUUCUGAUGCUGGUGAUUUAGCUAAUUUUAUAUAUUAGCUACACACAACACUUUUUGUUUAUAUCUGUUUAUAUUUGGUAACUGCUACAAAUACAAAACAUAAAAAGUAGCAAAUUUAAGUUAAAGGCUAAAGACCUUGGAAUAAUGCAUGAACAUUUUUCUUUCUCCUUGUGAAUGCAGCAUUGUCCCCGGGCUUUAUGAGUAUACAUAAACCUACAGAAAGGAGAAGAAUAAGUUUGGAGGCUGAUGUGAACACAAACAAGACAGAAAUGGUUGAUGUGUCCGUUGCUGGUUUAUACGUUGGCUGCGAAAAACUCCAAUGGUCAAAAAAAAAAAAAAAAGUAAAAAUUCCCCUCGCUGUUCGUUUGAACACCAUGAUAGAGAUAACCUUCCCUCUGCUGAAUACCUCUGUUAACAAAACUGUUCUUCCUGAGUCUCUCGCUGUCCCCCACCCCCCCCACCCCACUAGUUCCCUGCCCUCUACCAUGUGUGUCUGACUGACUGGCAACACCAAGAACGACGCCAAAGAUUGCUCCCGUAGUCCUCUUCCGUAGAUGGGGGUGUUGUUGGUCAGUGUAUGUGAUUGAUCUUCCCCACAUCUGUAAACCCAUGAGUGUCAUUGUGAAGUCAUGUGACCGGAGCAGUGGGUGACAUCUUAUAAAUUGUGCUUUCUUUUGGGGGUGGGGUGGGGGGAUAAAAAUGACAUUUCGUGGUUAACUGGUUACUAUUAUUUGGUCUUUUGUAGAUUAUUUUUGUGUGUCAAAUAUGAAAUUAAACAAAACAGGUGGUUUUCAUGAUGACUCUCCUCGACUUGGUUCUUCUUCCAUCUUUGCUCACCAGCCACUGAGGCUAGUGGUUUUCCAAAGUUACUAGCCAUUCAGCAGUUUCCUUAGUUUGUAGUUGGGAAAUUACGUUUUAUUUCAUUAAUACUGACUACAGUAUGUUGCAAUUUUUAAUGUAAAUGAUGAAAUAAAGGCCCAAAUCAGGACUACAUAAAAGGUACGUGACUAAAGUACUGGUAAUGAAUAUUCAGUUCUGAUAAGGUAAAGAUCCUUUAGCAUGAAAACAUGAAGAUGUGAUUCCCAAAGUUGAGAUUUUUUUCAAUAACUAACGUCCUGAACUGUUUUGGGUCAGCAAGUUGCAAAGUUUCAUUGUGUACAAAUAUAAAUUGGAUUCAAUUUCAUGAGAGAGGCUAUAUUCAAUUAAAGGUACGGCAGAGCAUGGCAGAGUUUUGGCUUUUGUAUCUUCCUGUGUCAAUUUGGAAUUAUAAAUGGCUACAUAAUGGCUACACAAGUGUAGCAUCCACUCUAAACACCAAAUGCAUGGUGCUACAACUACAGAGGUCAAAGGAUAGAAAAAUAUUAAAAACACUUGUUUAACUAAUUAGAUCAAGCCGGUAGGUGUCCGCUUGGUAAACCAAAGACUACAAAUUUGAAUCUCAUCUGCGGAAGUAACUUCAAGUGCAACACCAAAUACAGUAAAAAUGGAUACAGAAAGAUACAAGAAGUCAUUCUGCUAAUUAGCUCAAGUUGUUAGAUGUUGGCUUGGUAAACCAAAGGUUAUCUAUCUGCGACAGUAAAUUUUGAAGUGCAACACUCAAAGUUGAAAAUGCCUCUGAGAGAGAGCUAUGUUAAUUGCAAAGGGGAUUAGUGGCGCACCAAGAUAAGUUGAGACCGUAAGGCACAAUUCAAAUAAUGAGUGAGAGUGCAGAGUCUGGUUCGAGUCAGGACCCGGAGCAGGAAAAAAGGGCUUCACUGCGAUUGCAGUGGUGAAAUGUAGUAUUUUUUACAGUUAUGUCAGAAUCAUCCAACUUUAAUCUAAACAAUGACUACUGGCUACACUUAGCCUCCUUGAUGUCUGAUCUCUGCACCAUCUGUGUGUCAUUGUUGAUGUUUGCAGGCAUAGUCCAUGCACGUCUCUGGCGGGGCCGGAUCUAGCAGGGGCAAGAGGGCCAGCCAGCCCCCCAAACAAAUGUCUUGCCCCCUGAAUUCAAAAUUUUAGAAGGUGUCACCACUUUGUCCACAAUUACAGAAACACGGUCCAUGAUCAGAGAGACAUUGUUGAGGAUGAGGGAGACAUCGUCCACGAUCAGAUACAUUGUCCGUGAUCGCAGAGACCUUGUCAAAGAUGAGAGAGAUGUUGUCCUUGAUCAGAGACAUUGUCCCAUGCUUCGUAGAGACCUUGCGAUAGAAUCGGCGGAGACGGGGGUCACCGAUUUGACGGCACUGCCCGCGAUCAUGGAGACAUUGUCGAUGAUCACAGAGACACCGUCUAUGAUCUCAGAGACAUCGUCCACGAUCACAAAGACAUUGUCCAUGAUCACAGAGACUUUGUCCAUAAUCUCAGAGACAUUGUCCGUGAUCACAGAGACGUAGUCCACGAUCGCAGAGGGUCUCCAUGCAAUGAAGAAGUUCUUUGAGACCAGGACUGAGGCCUCCAGGUGUCACCACUUUGUCCACAAUUGCAGAAACACGGUCCAUGAUCAGAGAGACAUUGUUGAGGAUGAGGGAGACAUCGUCCACGAUCAGAUACAUUGUCCGUGAUCGCAGAGACCUUGUCAAAGAUGAGAGAGAUGUUGUCCUUGAUCAGAGACAUUGUCCCAUGCUUCGUAGAGACCUUGCGAUAGAAUCGGCGGAGACGGGGGUCACCGAUUUGACGGCACUGCCCGCGAUCAUGGAGACAUUGUCGAUGAUCACAGAGACACCGUCUAUGAUCUCAGAGACAUCGUCCACGAUCACAAAGACAUUGUCCAUGAUCACAGAGACUUUGUCCAUAAUCUCAGAGACAUUGUCCGUGAUCGCAGAGACGUAGUCCACGAUCGCAGAGGGUCUCCAUGCAAUGAAGAAGUUCUUUGAGACCAGGACUGAGGCCUCCAGGUGUCACCACUUUGUCCACAAUUGCAGAAACACGGUCCAUGAUCAGAGAGACAUUGUUGAGGAUGAGGGAGACAUCGUCCACGAUCAGAUACAUUGUCCGUGAUCGCAGAGACCUUGUCAAAGAUGAGAGAGAUGUUGUCCUUGAUCAGAGACAUUGUCCCAUGCUUCGUAGAGACCUUGCGAUAGAAUCGGCGGAGACGGGGGUCACCGAUUUGACGGCACUGCCCGCGAUCAUGGAGACAUUGUCGAUGAUCACAGAGACACCGUCUAUGAUCUCAGAGACAUCGUCCACGAUCACAAAGACAUUGUCCAUGAUCACAGAGACUUUGUCCAUAAUCUCAGAGACAUUGUCCGUGAUCGCAGAGACGUAGUCCACGAUCGCAGAGGGUCUCCAUGCAAUGAAGAAGUUCUUUGAGACCAGGACUGAGGCCUCCAGGUGUCACCACUUUGUCCACAAUUGCAGAAACACGGUCCAUGAUCAGAGAGACAUUGUUGAGGAUGAGGGAGACAUCGUCCACGAUCAGAUACAUUGUCCGUGAUCACAGAGACCUUGUCAAAGAUGAGAGAGAUGUUGUCCUUGAUCAGAGACAUUGUCCCAUGCUUCGUAGAGACCUUGCGAUAGAAUCGGCGGAGACGGGGGUCACCGAUUUGACGGCACUGCCCGCGAUCAUGGAGACAUUGUCGAUGAUCACAGAGACACCAUCUAUGAUCUCAGAGACAUCGUCCACGAUCACAAAGACAUUGUCCAUGAUCACAGAGACUUUGUCCAUAAUCUCAGAGACAUUGUCCGUGAUCGCAGAGACGUAGUCCACGAUCGCAGAGACGUAGUCCACGAUCGCAGAGGGUCUCCAUGCAAUGAAGAAGUUCUUUGAGACCAGGACUGAGGCCUCCAGGUGUCACCACUUUGUCCACAAUUGCAGAAACACGGUCCAUGAUCAGAGAGACCUUGUCAAAGAUGAGAGAGACAUCGUCCACAAUCACAAAGACAUUGUCCAUAAUUUCAGAGACAAGGUAAUUCACACACAGCUUCA